GCCUGGGAGUCAGGUAGCAGGGCCUUUGGGAUCCAGUCGCUCAUUGACUGUGAGCUCAGGCAAGCUCGUACACUCCAGAGGCUCCUCUGCUUCCGUGUUGCACGAGAAUGCAGUGUUAUAGGAUCCUAAAUGCAGUUGUGAGGAUUAAAUGUGAAAGUGCUCAUGGCAUACAGAAUGCUGAACCCAGGCCUGGCGCAGAAGGGUCAGCCAUUUCUAAUGGGAUACAGGCACACAUGCAUCUGCAGGUAUAAAGCAUGAUGAAUAAUCUGAAAAAUGUGUCUGGAAUUAAGGGUGUGAUAAUGGCCUCUCAUGAAUGGCCAGAAAACACAGGAAAUGCAUAGCAAAGAUGAAGCCUUCUCUUCUUUAAACCACCCAGUGAGUAUGCACAGCACUACUGGGGCAUGAUCUGAUAGUACAGAGGUUUUAAAAUUGUGUAUGUAUAUACACAAUAAAUAUAUAGUCUCAAAUAUAAUAUUUUAAAUGUAUAAAUAUAUUUAAAUAUAUAAAGUAUAUAGAUAUUAUGCAUAUAUUUCUAAAAAUAAUUUUAAAAAUCAC
ensembl:lncRNA